rnacentral:misc_RNA from 1 species
AAGAGACGUUGGCCCUUCGGGGUAUACCUCCCACCCUUUGUUUUAUUAUACCUUUUGUUGCUUUGGGCGGGGCCCGUUCCUCGGACCACCCGGCUUUCUGCUGGUUCAGUGCCCGCCCAGGAGGACCUAAAAACUCUGUUUGUUAAUAUUGUCUGAGUACUAUAUAAUAGUUUUAAA